UUUUUUUGGUACAAUAGAUAAAAUAGAAGGGAACAAAAGAAAAAAAGAAAAAGCAAGAAAAUUAGGCUCUAGGGUAAGCCACCCUUAGAGCAUCAGACAAGAGUAGAUCUUUCAAAUUACUGGGCGGAGCUUCCCACAUGGUAAGCUUCGAGUCAUUAGUCGAGCCCAACUUAGCGAAAAAGUCAGCACAAGCGUUUCCUUCCCUCAAAGUGUGAUAUAAAGAGACUUCCCAAUGUAAUUUAAGAAGAUCUUGUAUGUUAGCUAUAACAGCAGCAUAGGAGUGGUAGCUAUUAUACCCUUUG
rnacentral:lncRNA from 1 species